GCUCGAGUGGCGGAACUGGUAUACGCGUACGCUUCAGAAGCGUAUCCCGCAAGGGUUGGAGGUUCAAAUCCUCUCUCGAGCA
rnacentral:tRNA from 1 species